rnacentral:tRNA from 1 species
GGCUCAAUGGUCUAGUGGUAUGAUUCGCCCUUCGGGUGCUUGUGUUCUUCACAACCCUUGCGCACAGCGUGAAUGGGCGAGGUCUCGGGUUCGAUCCCCGAUUGAGCCC